UAUGAAGCCCCUGUACUUAUUUAUUUGUGUGUUCUGAGAGGCACUCUGCUCUUGCACCAUCCUAUUUUUCAGCAGGUUUUUAGAGGCGGUUUAUCACAUCACAUGGUAACAAGGCAGAAUUGGGAGGAGAGUUCAUCUCAGGUUCUAGAUUACAUCAGGUUUUUAGAGGCGGUUUAUCACAUCACAUAGUAACAAGGCAGAGGAGAGUUCAUCUCAGGUUCUAGAUUACAUCAGGUUUUUAGAGGCGGUUUAUCACAUCACAUAG